CCGCGCGCCGCUGACCGUUGCCCGCCAACGGCUCCGGCAGCGCCGCCGCCGGGAGAGGGGGCGCCGGGCCGCCCUGGGCCCGCGCAGCCUGCGCGGGGCGCCGAUCCCCGAACCGGCCUAGCCCGCGGGCACGGGCUCCCCGCGUCCCCCCGGGGAUGCAACUCCCUCCCGGCCCUGGGACCCCGGCUGGGGGAACCGGCGCGACGGUGCGGGGCUCUCAGCGGUCCCCGCUGCAACUGUGCCCCCUCCUGCCGCCCGGACCCCCGCCCCCCUCGGAUCAGGGGCGGCUGCACCCAGCGCCGCGGAACUGCCGCCGGCGAACCCAGCGCCGGCCGCGGCGCAGCGCCUCCGCCUCGCCUCGCCUCACCUCACGGCGUGGCCGGUGCCCUGCGGAGCCCAGCGCAGCACAAGCCCGGCCUGAGCCCAACCCUCCGGGAAGUUUCCUGCCAUCGCGGCGGCCGGGGAAAACAACAGCUUCAAAGCCAGGAGCCGGAGCAAGAGGAAGGGCAGCGCGAGCAGAAAAGUGAGGGGCAUCGCUCGCCCGCCGCGCCGCUGCCGUCGGCGGCCGACCCCCGCGGAGGGCAGCCCGCUCAGCGCCGCCUCCCCAUUCGCUUCGGCGGCGGCCCCGCCGCACCGGCAGCGCCGCGGAACCGCCGGGCCGAGGAGCAGGCAGGCGAGCCGCCGCCUCCCGCCUGCCGGCAGCCUCCCCGGGCCGCCCGUCCCGCUCGCCGCAGCGCCGCCGAACCCCGCCCGCGCCCCCGCCCGCCCGCGCGGCGGCUCCGCCUCCCGGGGGCGCGCGCAGGCUCCGGCCGAGCGGCUCCUGCGGCCCCCGGCGGCAGCGGGCGCUCCCGGGGGGCGGCCGCGGAGCCCGGCGCCCCGCACCGGCGGCCGGAGGGGCGGCGGAGGGCGGCUCGGCUGCGCUGCGACCCGCCACCCGUUCCUCGGCGCCAAGUGUCGCGCAGGCUGUGCCUGCAGAGUUGGAGACGCCUCGUUAAGAUGCAGGUAGAAGAGAUGCGGAAGGCAGGGCGAGCAAGUGCGAAGGAGCCCCCAGCCUCCCGCCAGGCAGGGACGUCAGCGUGUAAUACACUGUAUGCUGGAUCAACAGUGUGGUUUCUGGAUAUCUGGGGUGUAAUUCCAUCUAUAGGCAGAAUAUAUCAGCUGCUGUCUGUUUUCCCCUUGAGAAAAUGUGUCUCUGAUGUACAUACAUUUCUAACUGAAGCAGGCCUUCCAGACUGCACAUGCAUGCCAUCCACCUACCAGGCAUAUGGAGACUGUGGAACAAAUAGAUGCAAGCAGUUCUGCAAUUGUUUGUUGGCUUUGGGAAACAAAUGGAUGCCUGGUGAACCACCAUCAUCACCUCAAUAUGUUUUGGAAGUCUGUUCAAAACUUCUCUUCUCCGUCCCCCCUGAGAAUGUAAAUUCUCAUAGCUCAAAAUAUUUUAGUCAAUAUUCCUGUUUCAUAUGCUUUGGAUACUCAACAUUAAUUUUCAGUGUAAUUCUGUCCCAGGUGUUUGUGCAGUACAAAAGGUUUUUGUUUCUAAGUACAUGUUUGCUAUGGUAA
ensembl:lncRNA